GAUGAACGCUAGCUACAGGCUUAACACAUGCAAGUCGCGGGGCAGCAUGGGGGUUGCUUGCAAUCCCCGAUGGCGACCGGCGCACGGGUGAGUAACGCGUAUCCAACCUGCCCUUCACCACGGGAUAACCCGGCGAAAGUCGGACUAAUACCGUAUGUUGUCCAUUGACGGCAUCCGAUUUGGACGAAAGGCUUGGCGGUGAGGGAUGGGGAUGCGUCCGAUUAGCCAGACGGCGGGGUAACGGCCCACCGUGGCUACGAUCGGUAGGGGUUCUGAGAGGAAGGUCCCCCACACUGGAACUGAGACACGGUCCAGACUCCUACGGGAGGCAGCAGUGAGGAAUAUUGGUCAAUGGGCGUAAGCCUGAACCAGCCAAGUAGCGUGCAGGAUGACGGCCCUAUGGGUUGUAAACUGCUUUUAUGCGGGGAUAAAGUGGCCCACGUGUGGGCUUUUGCAGGUACCGCAUGAAUAAGGACCGGCUAACUCCGUG
rnacentral:rRNA from 1 species